CACGCAUCCCUCAUUUGCCUGGGACAGUCUCACAGUACUGCAAUUUUCCUGAUCUGCUGUGGUGAUAUUCCCUGUUGGUGUAUAUUAAUUCAAAAUUGAGACUCUUCUGGCUCAUUAUUCAUAUAAACGAAGACAUAACAUGAAGAGGAACGGAGGAGUCAACUGACAGUCAAAACUGAGACCUCAGACAUGUGACCCCAUCUCAACUCUCAUUGGCCAUUUGAGUUCCCUAUUGACUCAGUUACUGUGGAGCAGAGAGGCAGGCUAUUCCCACUUGGUCUGUUCAAUUCCUAAUCUACAA